rnacentral:rRNA from 1 species
UCAAGUAAAAGAAGAGCAUUAGGUGAAUGCCUAGGCACCAAGAGGCGAAGAAGGACGUGACAAGCUGCGAAAAGCUGUGGGUAGGAGCAAAUAUCCAUUAAACCACAGAUAUCCGAAUGGGGAAACCCACCUCAAAGAGGUAUCCUUAACCCAAUCCAUAAGUUAAGGAAGCGAACCAGGUGAACUGAAACAUCUAAGUAACCUGAGGAAAAGAAAGAAAACUCGAUAUCCCAAGUAGCGGCGAGCGAACAGGAUAGAGCCCAACCGUGCGGAUCAUUAAAAUAGCUAGUAGAACCAUAUGGGAAGAUGGACCAAAGAAGGUAAAAGUCCUGUAAACGAAAGCAAAGAUAAAUGAGCACAAAAGAGUACCACGAGACACGAGAAACCUUGUGGGAAUAUGGGGGGACCACCCCCCAAGGCUAAAUACUACUUGGUGACCGAUAGCGAAUAAGUACCGUGAGGGAAAGGUGAAAAGAACCCCGAGAGGGGAGUGAAAAAGAAUCUGAAACCUAAUGUUUACAAGCAGCGAAACUGGCAAAAGCCAGGAUCGUGUACUUUUUGUAGAACGGGCCAGCGAGUUAUGGUAUCAAGCAAGGUUAAGGUAUAAAGUACCGGAGCCGUAGAGAAAUCGAGUCUUAAUAGGGCGAAAGUUUGAUGCCAUAGACCCGAAACCGUGUGAUCUAUCCAUGGGCAGAGUGAAGUUGAAGUAAAAUUCAAUGGAGGCUCGAACCGGGUAACGUUUAAAAGUUAUCGGAUGACCUGUGGAUAGGGGUGAAAAGCCAAACGAACACGGAGAUAGCUGGUUCUCCUCGAAAUAGCUUUAGGGCUAGCCUUUAGUGAACAAUGAUAAGGGGGUAGAGCACUGAAUCGUAAAGGGGUGUAUGACAUUACCAAUACGUAUCAAACUCCGAAUACCAAAUCAAGCACUAAGGAGUCAGACAAUGUGGGAUGAGCUUCAUUGUCGAAAGGGAAACAGCCCAGACCACCAGCUAAGGUCCCAAAAUAAUAGUUAAGUGGGAAAGGAUGUGGAGUUACUCAGACAACCAGGAUGUUGGCUUAGAAGCAGCCAUACAUUCAAAGAGUGCGUAAUAGCUCACUGGUCAAGUGACUCUGCGCCGAAGAUAACCGGGGCUAAACUAUAUACCGAAGCUGUGGAUUUAUAUGAAAAUAUAAGUGGUAGAGGAGCAAUGUAUGAGAGAAGAAGCAAAAGGCGAAAGCCAUUGUGGAUUUCAUAGAAGAGAGAAUGCUGGCAUAAGUAGCGAAAGGUGAGUGAGAAUCUCACCCGUCGAAAACCCAAGGAUUCCUGAGCAAGGCUCGUCCACUCAGGGUAAGUCGGGACCUAAGGCGAGGCUGAAAAGCGUAGUCGAUGGACAACAGGUGGAAAUUCCUGUACCGAUAUGAAGCGUAAGAAAGUAAGUGGGGACGCAGGAGGAUAGUAGGAGCGCCCAGUUGGUGAGGCGUGCAAGCACAAAGGUGAAGAUGGAGGCAAAUCCCCAUCUUGAGAAAGCUAAAGUGUGAUGCGGAUCGAAAACAAGUAGAGAAGGAUACAACUCCACACUGCCAAGAAAAGCCACUAUCAAGUAACAUAUCGCCCGUACCGUAAACCGACACAGGUAGGUGAGGAGAGAAUCCUAAGACGAGCGGAAGAACCUUUGUUAAGGAACUCGGCAAAAUGACCCCGUAAGUUAGCGAGAAGGGGAGCCCCUUGGAAAAGGGGGCCGCAGUAAAAAGGCCCAAGCGACUGUUUACCAAAAACACAAGUUUCUGCCAAGUCGAAAGACGAAGUAUAGGAGCUGACACCUGCCCGGUGCUGGAAGGUUAAGGGGAAAUGUAAGCGCAAGCGAAGCAUAGAACCGAAGCCCCAGUAAACGGCGGCCGUAACUAUAACGGUCCUAAGGUAGCGAAAUUCCUUGUCGGGUAAGUUCCGACCCGCACGAAAGGUGUAACGAUUUGGG